CCUACGGGGGGCAGCAGUGGGGAAUAUUGGACAAUGGGCGAAAGCCUGAUCCAGCCAUGCCGCGUGUGUGAAGAAGGCCUUCGGGUUGUAAAGCACUUUCAGUGGGGAAGAAAGCCUUGGGGCUAAUACCCUCGAGGAAGGACAUCACCCACAGAAGAAGCACCGGCUAACUCCGUGCCAGCAGCCGCGGUAAUACGGAGGGUGCGAGCGUUAAUCGGAAUUACUGGGCGUAAAGCGCGCGUAGGCGGUCUGAUAAGCCGGUUGUGAAAGCCCCGGGCUCAACCUGGGAACGGCAUCCGGAACUGUCAGGCUAGAGUGCAGGAGAGGAAGGUAGAAUUCCCGGUGUAGCGGUGAAAUGCGUAGAGAUCGGGAGGAAUACCAGUGGCGAAGGCGGCCUUCUGGACUGACACUGACGCUGAGGUGCGAAAGCGUGGGUAGCAAACAGGAUUAGAUACCCCAGAGU
rnacentral:rRNA from 1 species